GGAGGCUCCGCCAGGCCGCUGUCGACGAGCGCGAUGAGACCCGUUGCGGGAGACUUUGCCAGGACGUCUCUGAUGAGCAGCAGCAGGCGCAUCGUGGGGAGUUCCAGGCCGCCGCCUACUCCGCCACACAGCCGCCGACUGGAGGAGCCCGUGGCGGUGGCCAGUUUCAUGGCGGUGGAGGCACUGCUUGUGGAGGAUCCCGUGGUGGUUGUCGAUUUCGUGGUGGUGGAGGUGCUGCUGGUGGAUGUGCCCAUAAUGGUGGUUGCAGGCGCCGCCGCUGCCCGCGACGCUCCCACGCCUGCAUCGCGGCGUCGACUGCUUCCACAAUCUUGAUCAAAUCGGCGAGGGAACCUACGGGAAAGUCAACACGGCAAGGAGACGAAUACGAACGAGAUCCUCACCCGCAAUAAGAUCCGCGCGAGUAGAUGGGUGGUCUCCAGGCGCGGGCGCGGGAGGCGUGAAGCUGAUCCCCCCAGCGACCAGCCUCCAGAAGCUCCCCAAGUUCCCGGACUUGGCGGCGGAGCCCUGAUGUGCUCUGCUAUUCUUGAGGUCCCCGAUUCCGUCCAAGGUGCCGUUUAAUUUCAGAACCAGCAGUCCAGCACCAGCUGGUCUUCCCUCCGCUCCUCUCGCUCUCGCAUGCGUUCUACAGCGCCGUCGCUGUGAUCACUCUUGUGGUCUGGCCUCAAGACCUCUGUGGAACGUGCAGCUCAAGAAUGUUGGCCACCGGUUGGUCCACACCUAGCUAUUCUCAAGUACCCUGGUAAGUGGUUGUCGAACAGAGCUGCUGGUGGCUGCUGCUUUUAUUCUCUCUCUGCCGUUUGGGAUGUUAUCUUUUCUGGUUCUGUAAGGGCAUUUUUUCAGGUUACAAUGUUAUUUCCAUGUGUUUUCUAGACAACGUGUUCUCAGAGUAGUUCAUAUAUCUAUGACAUCCACUCAUGUGUUGGGAAAACAUUCAAGUGAAGUACGUACUUCAGUGACUUGCUUCAAACGCCGAAUACAUGCAUUUACCUUCAUUCCAGGAAGCAUGAAGAGGAGAAACACUCUGCAAAUGGAAGCAAUCUGUGCGCACAGCCCACAAGAACGAAUCAAUGGAAAACUAGAAGCAUGGUUAUUAGUUUCAAAAGAAUAUUUGAAUGACAUUUCAUGGAGAGCACUGCUCGGAUAGCUCACUUCAGUGUGCAAUAGAGAUAUCUUCUCCGCUGUUGGCACCCACGACGAGCCAGGGCCCUCCUCCAGCAGAGCACGAGCCAGACCAGCCCCAGCCUUCAUGUCAAGAUCCAAGAAGUCAUUGUUCUAUCAUCCGGCAAUAAGGACGAUGACAACUUGCGCUAAAGAACUAUUCAAAGGAAACAAGGCAGUUAUGGUUGCUGCUUUUACUUAUCGAACUUAGUAGAAUCCGAAGUCAAGUACUCAAGUCCCUAUUGUACCCGCUAUUUCUGAAAAUAAUUCCCAUCAUACAGAACAAUAGUCCACUCACUUCUAAGUAUUUUAGCACAUUGCUUACCAUUUGUUA